rnacentral:rRNA from 1 species
AUUGAACGCUGGCGGCAUGCUUUACACAUGCAAGUCGAACGGCAGCGCGGGCUUCGGCCUGGCGGCGAGUGGCGAACGGGUGAGUAAUACAUCGGAACGUGCCCAGUAGUGGGGGAUAGCUCGGCGAAAGCCGGAUUAAUACCGCAUACGACCUGAGGGUGAAAGCGGGGGAUCUUCGGACCUCGCGCUCUUGGAGCGGCCGAUGGCAGAUUAGCUAGUUGGUGGGGUAAAGGCCUACCAAGGCGACGAUCUGUAGCUGGUCUGAGAGGACGACCAGCCACACGGGGACUGAGACACGGCCCAGACUCCUACGGGAGGCAGCAGUGGGGAAUUUUGGACAAGGGGCGAAGGCCUAAUCCAGCAAUGCCGCGUGUGUGAUGAAGGCCUUCGGGUUGUAAAGCACUUUUGGCGGGAACGAAAAGGACUGUGCCAAUACCACGGUUCGAUGACGGUACCCGCAGAAUAAGCACCGGCUAACUACGU